rnacentral:tRNA from 1 species
UUACUGAUAGGUUAAAUAAACUGACAAAUUGUGGUUUUGUUGAUUACUUUUUUGUAUUAGUAAA